rnacentral:lncRNA from 1 species
GCGGGUCUUUGAAGAUAGAUAGCCGCCCCAUUCGCCUUUUUCAUUCAAUAGAAGAAAAUUUGACUAUUAUAUAGAUAAGGACUAGGUGGGUGAGUCCUCACUGACCUGAGUUAUUUCAAUCACCUAGCAGGCAGCUAAAGUCAAGGCGUAUCAUCAGAUUUUACUAAGAAGGAACUCGAAGUGAGAUGGUCUUGCGCAACGCAACGAGAGUUUUCCCUCUAUCAUCUUCUAUCUGAUAGACUUGGUAAAAGGGCCCCUCCAUUCCCUGGAUCGACCGCAACUGCUAUGU